rnacentral:rRNA from 1 species
AAAUUGAAGAGUUUGAUCAUGGCUCAGAUUGAACGCUGGCGGCAGGCCUAACACAUGCAAGUCGAGCGGUAGCACAGAGAGCUUGCUCUCGGGUGACGAGCGGCGGACGGGUGAGUAAUGUCUGGGAAACUGCCUGAUGGAGGGGGAUAACUACUGGAAACGGUAGCUAAUACCGCAUAAUGUCGCAAGACCAAAGUGGGGGACCUUCGGGCCUCAUGCCAUCAGAUGUGCCCAGAUGGGAUUAGCUAGUAGGUGGGGUAACGGCUCACCUAGGCGACGAUCCCUAGCUGGUCUGAGAGGAUGACCAGCCACACUGGAACUGAGACACGGUCCAGACUCCUACGGGAGGCAGCAGUGGGGAAUAUUGCACAAUGGGCGCAAGCCUGAUGCAGCCAUGCCGCGUGUGUGAAGAAGGCCUUCGGGUUGUAAAGCACUUUCAGCGGGGAGGAAGGCGGUGAGGUUAAUAACCUCACCGAUUGACGUUACCCGCAGAAGAAGCACCGGCUAACUCCGUGCCAGCAGCCGCGGUAAUACGGAGGGUGCAAGCGUUAAUCGGAAUUACUGGGCGUAAAGCGCACGCAGGCGGUCUGUCAAGUCGGAUGUGAAAUCCCCGGGCUUAACCUGGGAACUGCAUUCGAAACUGGCAGGCUAGAGUCUUGUAGAGGGGGUAGAAUUCCAGGUGUAGCGGUGAAAUGCGUAGAGAUCUGGAGGAAUACCGGUGGCGAAGGCGGCCCCCUGGACAAAGACUGACGCUCAGGUGCGAAAGCGUGGGGAGCAAACAGGAUUAGAUACCCUGGUAGUCCACGCCGUAAACGAUGUCGAUUUGGAGGUUGUGCCCUUGAGGCGUGGCUUCCGGAGCUAACGCGUUAAAUCGACCGCCUGGGGAGUACGGCCGCAAGGUUAAAACUCAAAUGAAUUGACGGGGGCCCGCACAAGCGGUGGAGCAUGUGGUUUAAUUCGAUGCAACGCGAAGAACCUUACCUGGUCUUGACAUCCACAGAACUUUCCAGAGAUGGAUUGGUGCCUUCGGGAACUGUGAGACAGGUGCUGCAUGGCUGUCGUCAGCUCGUGUUGUGAAAUGUUGGGUUAAGUCCCGCAACGAGCGCAACCCUUAUCCUUUGUUGCCAGCGGUUCGGCCGGGAACUCAAAGGAGACUGCCAGUGAUAAACUGGAGGAAGGUGGGGAUGACGUCAAGUCAUCAUGCCCCUUACGACCAGGGCUACACACGUGCUACAAUGGCAUAUACAAAGAGAAGCGACCUCGCGAGAGCAAGCGGACCUCAUAAAGUAUGUCGUAGUCCGGAUUGGAGUCUGCAACUCGACUCCAUGAAGUCGGAAUCGCUAGUAAUCGUAGAUCAGAAUGCUACGGUGAAUACGUUCCCGGGCCUUGUACACACCGCCCGUCACACCAUGGGAGUGGGUUGCAAAAGAAGUAGGUAGCUUAACCUUCGGGAGGGCGCUUACCACUUUGUGAUUCAUGACUGGGGUGAAGUCGUAACAAGGUAACCGUAGGGGAACCUGCGGUUGGAUCACCUCCUUA